rnacentral:ncRNA from 2 species
CUUUCGAACUGCGCCGAUUUGAGGAUCAGCUUGCGGGCGCGUUACAAAUCCGGCUAAAGCGAACCAGGAAAACCCGGU